AUUGAAUGCUGGCGGCAGGCUUAACACAUGCAAGUCGAACGAGUGGCGGACGGGUGAGUAAUGUUUGGGAACAUAGCUUAAGGAGGGGGAUAACUACGGGAAACAGUAGCUAAUACCGCGUAACAUAGGAUGAGCUCAAGUGGGAUUAGGUAGUUGGUGGGGUAAAGGCUCACCAAGCCGACGAUCUCUAGCUGGUCUGAGAGGAUGACCCGCCACACUGGGACUGAGACACGGCCCAGACUCCUACGGGAGGCAGCAGUGGGGAAUCUUGCACAAUUGGGGCAACCUGACGCAGCCAUGCCGCGUGAAGUAAGAAGGCCUUCGGGUUGUAAAGUUCUUUCGGUAGCGAGGCGUUAACUACAGAAGAAGAACCAGCUAACUCCGUGCCAGCAGCCGCGGUAAUAC
rnacentral:rRNA from 1 species